GGGGGUAUAGCUCAGUGGUAGAGCAUUUGACUGCAGAUCAGGAGGUCACCGGUUCAAAUCCAGUUGUCCCCU